UACGAAGGGGGCUAGCGUUGCUCGGAAUCACUGGGCGUAAAGCGCACGUAGGCGGAUCUUUAAGUCAGGGGUGAAAUCCCGAGGCUCAACCUCGGAACUGCCUUUGAUACUGGCUGUCUUGAGUCCGGGAGAGGUGAGUGGAACUCCUAGUGUAGAGGUGAAAUUCGUAGAUAUUAGGAAGAACACCAGUGGCGAAGGCGGCUCACUGGCCCGGAACUGACGCUGAUGUACGAAAGCGUGGGGAGCAAACAGG
rnacentral:rRNA from 1 species